rnacentral:RNase_P_RNA from 1 species
GCGGCAGGCCGGAUGACCGCCGGGCGUUUACGACGCCGGGAGGAAAGUCCGGGCUCCAUAGGGCAUGGCGCUGGGUAACGCCCAGCGGAGGUAACUCCGGGCAAGCGCAACAGAGAGAAGACCGCCACCGGCCUGAUGCGGGUGGUAAGGGUGAAAGGGUGAGGUAAGAGCUCACCGGCCGGACGGGUGACCGUCCGGGCCAGGCAAGCCCCGCCAGGAGCAAAACCAAAUAGGGCGGCGAUAAGACGGCCCGUCUUGCCGCCGGGUAGGUUGCUUGAGCUGUGGAGUAAUUCACAGCCUAGAUGAAUGGUCAUCGCCCCGCCAGGGGAACAGAACCCGGCUUACAGGCCCGCCGCCUAU